GACAAACCAAAUCAUAUAUGUAGUGUUUAACCUGAAGCCAUCCCCACAUCCUUAAAACCAUAAACCACAUCCCAUUUUCCCCCCUCAUGCUUAAAGAACAGAGGUAAACAUUAACUGUCUAAAGGAAUUGGUAAUGAGACACGUAUGAUUACAAACCAAACCUGUUGAAAUGAACUUUAAAAGACAUCAGAAUUAUCAGCCAUCAUGUUUCGACACUGUAAAUGCAGGAAAUUGUAACAGGAUACAGUUGGGUUAAUUAUGCAAUAUAUCUUACCAAUUGUCUAGCCCUUGUGUAUUGUUCUAAAAACUAAAGUUUGAAUCUUUAUGGUCUUGCCUGCUAGAUAUUAUGUUCUUUGGUAGAGAAUUCCCAUAGUCUGUACUCAACAAGUGCCUAAAAUUGAUUUGUGUUGAUUUUUAAGUCCAUCUAAUAAAUUAUAUGUGUUUUCUAUGGUAUUAUAUGUGCUUGGCUUACUGAUG
rnacentral:lncRNA from 1 species